GAGGUCUAACAGGCAGGUCACCUCGGAUUGGCAAACCUGUUAGACCUCGCCGAGGUCUAACAGGCAGGUCACCUCGGAUUGGCAAACCUAAACUCCUUCACUGGCAAAAUGUAGAUGCAAAUUAAAUGCCAAAAUUAACAUUUCAAUAUUUGUUUUGCGUGUUUCACCAAUAGCUUCGGAACUAGACGGACCUCAUAUAUAAUUUGCUCUUCAUAGAUGCUGUCAGGCGCCCUCAUAUAACGUUUUCUGCCCGGUACGAAAUAGACCGACCAAUAGCAACCCUUUAGGCUAUCUAAUGUGAGGUUGGAUAUACGCAACAUGUAGAGGUGUUUCAACAACAAAGAUGGAAGUUAGUGAACUAAAGACUGUAUAUGCUCACUAAAAGAACGAACGACUACUACUCAAAGAUUUUGAGGAAUAUGUAUUUCUGCAUCACCCGUUCCAAUGCUAUGAUUAGUCGAGGCCUAUCCAAUAGCAUAGCAUCGACCCAUUUUAAAUCGCGCCCUUUAGACACGCCCCUUGGAAAUUGAACAACGCACUUCAACGCAGAGGAUCUAGAAGGAUUUCACAACGAGUCCAUUGGAAGAUAUCGAGGAACAUGAACAUCACCAAUGAAGGAGAGUAACGUUUCCACUUGCUAUAGGAAUUUAGUGAAGCACUAAAUAGUUAAUAAUGAUAAAAUGUGGUCACCAUUUAUUGACUUUUUGGGAGCGGAUUGUACUCCCAGAGGCUUCAACAGAGCGGGUCUGGAGCUGAGAGCUGCAGGUGGAUGUUGGCCAGGAGCCGUUCAGUCCUACAGGAACAGACGGUAGAGGUGAUGGAGGCGGUCGUCUGGAGGUGCUCGUCUGGAGGUCCGUGGCGGUCGUCUGGAGGUGCUCGCCUGGAGGUCCAUGGCGGUCGUCUGGAGGCGCUCGCUGCAGGUGGAGGGAAGGCCGGGAGCCGUGCAGCCCAACGGAUGCAGAACGAAGGACUGAGGCGGAGGUCCUGGAGGCAGAGGCCAGCCUGGAGGCGGCGGUGGCCUGGAGGUCCUGGAGGCGUCCAACCUGGAAGGAGCAACAUGGAGGGCCAGGUGGCGGCUCCUCAUCCAAAGGGCCUGGAGGCGGCCAACCUGGCGGUCAGCCUGGAGGUCCCGGCGGCGGUCGUCCUGGAGGGCCCGGCGGCGGUCGUCCUGGAGGGCCCGGCGGCAGUAGAAUUAAAACUUUCAUAAUAUUUCCAAGGAUUGCAGAGUACCAAAUUAUUUAUGAACAGUUGUUUUUGUUCAGGAGCGGAUUGUACACCCAGAGGCCUCAACAGAGCGGGUCUGGAGCUGGGAGCUGCAGGUGGAUGGUGGCCAGGAGCCGUUCAGUCCUACAGGAACAGACGGUAGAGGUGAUGGAGGCGGUCGUCUGGAGGUGCUCGUCUGGAGGUCCGUGGCGGUCGUCUGGAGGUGCUCGCCUGGAGGUCCAUGGCGGUCGUCUGGAGGCGCUCGCUGCAGGUGGAGGGAAGGCCGGGAGCCGUGCAGCCCAACGGAUGCAGAACGAAGGACUGAGGCGGAGGUCCUGGAGGCAGAGGCCAGCCUGGAGGCAGAGGCCAGCCUGGAGGCGGCGGUGGCCUGGAGGUCCUGGAGGCAUCCAACCUGGAGGGGGCGGCAUGGAGGGCCAGGUGGCGGCUCCUCAUCCAGUGAAGUUAAACUCUUCUUCAGUGCAUCCAUGAUGAAAGGGGAGAAAUGUUCCAGUGUGCAACUGGAACUUGUGUCUCACAUUUCAGAAGGGCCUGGAGGUGGCCAACCUGGAAGGCCUGGAGACGGCCGAGGUCCUGGAGGCAACGGCGGGCCUGGAGGUGGAGGCCAACCUGGAGGUCCUGGAGUCGGUGGGCCUGGAGGCGGCGU